AUACGGAGGGUGCAAGCGUUACUCGGAAUCACGGGGCGUAAAGCGCGCGCAGGCGGGCUGAUAAGUUGGAUGUGAAAGCCUACGGCUCAACCGUAGAACUGCAUCCAAAACUGUCAGUCUAGAGUCUGGGAGGGGAAGAUGGAAUUAGUUGUGUAGGGGUAAAAUCCGUAGAGAUAACUAGGAAUACCAAAAGCGAAGGCGAUCUUCUGGAACAGUACUGACGCUGAGGCGCGAGAGCGUGGGGAGCAAACAGGAUUAGAUACCCUAGUAGUCC
rnacentral:rRNA from 1 species